GCUUGCUUCUUUGCUGACGAGUGGCGGACGGGUGAGUAAUGUCUGGGAAACUGCCUGAUGGAGGGGGAUAACUACUGGAAACGGUAACUAAUACCGCAUAACGUCGCAAGACCAAAGAGGGGGACCUUCGGGCCUCUUGCCAUCGGAUGUGCCCAGAUGGGAUUAGCUAGUAGGUGGGGUAACGGCUCACCUAGGCGACGAUCCCUAGCUGGUCUGAGAGGAUGACCAGCCACACUGGAACUGAGACACGGUCCAGACUCCUACGGGAGGCAGCAGUGGGGAAUAUUGCACAAUGGGCGCAAGCCUGAUGCAGCCAUGCCACGUGUAUGAAGAAGGCCUUCGGGUUGUAAAGUACUUUCAGCGGGGAGGAAGGGAGUAAAGUUAAUACCUUUGCUCAUUGACGUUACCCGCAGAAGAAGCACCGGCUAACUCCGUGCCAGCAGCCGCGGUAAUACGGAGGGUGCAAGCGUUAAUCGGAAUUACUGGGCGUAAAGCGCACGCAGGCGGUUUGUUAAGUCAGAUGUGAAAUCCCCGGGCUCAACCUGGGAACUGCAUCUGAUACUGGCAAGCUUGAGUCUCGUAGAGGGGGGUAGAAUUCCAGGUGUAGCGGUGAAAUGCGUAGAGAUCUGGAGGAAUACCGGUGGCGAAGGCGGCCCCCUGGACGAAGACUGACGCUCAGGUGCGAAAGCGUGGGGAGCAAACAGG
rnacentral:rRNA from 1 species